UACGUAGGGGGCGAGCGUUGUCCGGAUUCAUUGGGCGUAAAGGGCGCGUAGGCGGCUUGGCAAGUCGGAUGUGAAACCUCCAGGCUCAACCUGGAGUCGCCACCCGAUACUGCCAUGGCUAGAGUCCGGUAGGGGACCACGGAAUACCUGGUGUAGCGGUGAAAUGCGCAGAUAUCAGGAGGAACACCGAUGGCGAAGGCAGGUCUCUGGGCAACUACUGACGCUGAGAAGCGAAAGCAUGGGGAGCGAACAGG
rnacentral:rRNA from 1 species